AAUAAAUAAAUAAAUAAUGGCGAAUAAAGACAUGAGCAAUGGACCUACCCAUGGCCAUCAUACAUGAAUCUUGAACAACGGUAAAAAAAAAAAAAAAAAUUAAAAAAAAAAGUACAAAUCCCAUAGUUAAUAAAAGAGUUAUACAGUCAUUCGUAAUUAUUUCGGAAUCUUUGUUUUUCUGGAUAAUCCGAUUUGUGGUUCUGGGAACUGAUUUUGGUUCAUUCUUUCAUCUUCCAAUUAUCUGAUCGGGUUUGAUAUUUUAUAAAACCAGUUGCAAAACAGGACUACAAAAACCUUAUAUAGUACAGAGUCCGUAGAGUAUCUGCAAUACAGAAAAAACAUAUCUGAAAUUUUAGACAGUAGCAAUCCAAAAAAAAUCAUAAAAAUCUGUUUGGUUCAUCAUAUUAUCCAUUAUACCAGUGAAAAUAGUCCAAAAACACAGUAGUUAUCACUACUAAAACUGUAAUCCUAAAAACAUCCAGGUUUAAUAAAAUGCAAAACCCACAAGAAUAAGGGAAAUACAUGGGAAUAAGACCAACACAUUAGGGAAACCAAAUCUAUCUUGUCUUUUGUCUCUUGCCAGCACAACUUAUAGAAUGGAGAGGAGCACUUGAUGAAGGUUGAGUUGAGUUCGACCUUUGUUGAUGCAAAUGCUGAUGGCUUGAGCUUAGUUGCGUCAUGUGGUUAGAUGCUUGCGAUUCUGCAAUCAUGAGG